UUCUCCUGUUAGAUUAAAAAGUACUAUGUGAUUUUGUCUUACUGUUUUGUUGUUCGUCUUGGGUGGUUGAAGUUCUUCUAAAUUUCUGCCGGCUUUGUGUCUCCAUGCGAAUUUGGGAUCUGGAUUUUGUUCACCGUCACUUUCUUCUCUAGGUCUUCUAUUUGUUUGUAAGUCAUAGUCCAUUAUUUUAAAGAUUCCAGGGUUUUCACCUGGAUCUGGGUUUAAAGCUGUCCAUUUUAAGUUCUUAAACUUCACUUCACUUGAGUUCAAGAUUUUUUACGUGUUCACGCUAUGGUGGUCGCCAAUGUGCCUCCUGAAAACUCAUCAAGGAAUCUAUGUCUUCAGUACUUAUCAUGAAUAGAAAAUGGCAAGAUUAAAGUGGGUGGUUCUCAGAGACCUGCUUCCUUGAGUGUCCUAGCAGCAUGUUAAUGGAGCGGCCACAUGGCAGGACCAGAAGAAAAAUGAUCCAGAGAGACCUGAUAAAUUAUAGUCUCCCAUAAGUAUAAAAGAAGAGCAACAGUGAAUUAAAAAAAAAAAAGGUCAUGAAACUUGGUAAAUAAGGAAUAUACUGAUUCUGCAAUAGGAUAUGGCUCAGCUGGGAGAACUCAAGAACUUGGGGAUGAAGAGCAUCUCCAAGAAACUGAAGGCCGUGGAAGUGAAGGAUUGACUUGCUGACAUUUCCAUGACAUAAAUAAAAAGAACACAUUGUCUA